AGACCCGAAACCCGGUGAUCUAGCCAUGGGCAGGUUGAAGGUUGGGUAACACUAACUGGAGGACCGAACCGACUAAUGUUGAAAAAUUAGCGGAUGACCUGUGGCUGGGGGUGAAAGGCCAAUCAAACCGGGAGAUAGCUGGUUCUCCCCGAAAGCUAUUUAGGUAGCGCCUCGUGAAUUCAUCUCCGGGGGUAGAGCACUGUUUCGGCUAGGGGGCCAUCCCGGCUUACCAACCCGAUGCAAACUGCGAAUACCGGAGAAUGUUAUCACGGGAGACACACGGCGGGUGCUAACGUCCGUCGUGAAGAGGGAAACAACCCAGACCGCCAGCUAAGGUCCCAAAGUCAUGGUUAAGUGGGAAACGAUGUGGGAAGGCCCAGACAGCCAGGAUGUUGGCUUAGAAGCAGCCAUCAUUUAAAGAAAGCGUAAUAGCUCACUGGUCGAGUCGGCCUGCGCGGAAGAUGUAACGGGGCUAAACCAUGCACCGAAGCUGCGGCAGCGAACGUAUCACCCAAGACAACUUUACGGAGUUGACGAUUGACGGAGCGAAGCGACGUCAAAGCGUUCAUUAAAGUCGAGUUGGCUUAGGGAUACGUUCGUUGGGUAGGGGAGCGUUCUGUAAGCCUGUGAAGGUGUGUCGUGAGGCAUGCUGGAGGUAUCAGAAGUGCGAAUGCUGACAUAAGUAACGAUAAAGCGGGUGAAAAGCCCGCUCGCCGGAAGACCAAGGGUUCCUGUCCAACGUUAAUCGGGGCAGGGUGAGUCGACCCCUAAGGCGAGGCCGAAAGGCGUAGUCGAUGGGAAACGGGUUAAUAUUCCCGUACUUGGUGUUACUGCGAAGGGGGGACGGAGAAGGCUAUGUUGGCCGGGCGACGGUUGUCCCGGUUUAAGCGUGUAGGUGUGUGUUCCAGGUAAAUCCGGUUCACUUUAACACUGAGGCGUGAUGACGAGGCACUACGGUGCUGAAGCAACAAAUGCCCUGCUUCCAGGAAAAGCCUCUAAGCAUCAGGUAACAUCAAAUCGUACCCCAAACCGACACAGGUGGUCAGGUAGAGAAUACCAAGGCGCUUGAGAGAACUCGGGUGAAGGAACUAGGCAAAAUGGUGCCGUAACUUCGGGAGAAGGCACGCUGACACGUAGGUGAAGU
rnacentral:rRNA from 1 species